rnacentral:lncRNA from 1 species
UGAAACCACCCUCUCUAGUGCUCGCGGAGGGCGCUGGGGACGUGUGAGCCCCCGGGAGACCGUGCGGCUCUGGUCCUCCACCUUCUGGCACCUGGCAGCGUGUGAGGGAGGACAUGGCACAGCUGCCYGGUCCUACAGCGGGUCCCCCUCCUCGCUGGCCGGAGAGCGAUGUGGCUCUGCAGGGUGUCAUCGCCCACCCAGGGCCCCAGAUCUGUGGACGAGGCAGCAAGGUGGUCUGCACGGCAGGAGGGUUGGUAGGACGCGUGCUGGACUCUGGGCUGCCCCUAGUCCUGUGGCACCCAGAGCUUGGCCUCCCUGCUGGCCUGUGCUGCCACCGCCUGCCCUCUGACUCGGCACAGGUGGGCACAGGGCUGCCGGGGAAGGCCACGUUCCACUCAUACACAGAACCAGCACAGCAUGAAAACCAUCGUGAGCCUAAAUGCAGACCCGAGCCGUCUUCUCGGAACCACUGCCGUUUUAAUCACAGUUGUGAUUACCUUGAGCCCCGUUGCAGAGAUGGGAGGUGGGUGCCAAAGCCCCCUUGCAGGACCCAAGUGAGCACUGCUGUGUCCACUGGGGUCAGGAACUUGAUGCUGGGCACCGGGAGCCCCCUCUGUCCCUUCUCUGACACGGUCUGUUCUGUUCCUGGCCCUGUGCAAGGGAGAAUUCCUGCCAAUGUCGCUGCUGUGGGCUGCACUGUGGCCAGGGCAGGUGUCUGUCCUCCCAGUUAGAUAUUCAGAACCAUGGACACCCGGUCCCUCCUCCCAGCCUCCUGCUCUGGCUCCUGGGUUACUUCCCACUUUGCUGGCCGGCGUGAGUCCUGCCUCAGAAGACGCCCAAAACACCACUGAGGUCCUGAGGCCUGGCAGCUGCAGACCUGGUGGGCCACACUGGAUACCCAUCAUCGUGGCCUGGGCAGCCCCACAGUUGGCCAGAGGAGGGACCACAUGAAGGGCCAGGGCAGGGGCCUCUGUGGGCACCGUGCUGUCACUCCCUGGGAGAAGUCGCAGCCUGUAGCCCUGCCCAGAGCCCUCAUUCAAACCAAGCGGUUAUCAGCUGUGGGAAGGAAUGGCCUGUGUCAAGGGCUGUGCUGCCCUUGGGGACAUCUGCAAUGAGUGCCAAAGGGAUGACUGUCCACUUCCUUGAAGGGGGURUGGCGGUGGCCCAGACCAGGACCGCUGGCCUGAUGUGGACUGGACGCAGGACAGUUUGAGGGGYGGUAUGUGUACUCCCUUUGUGGGCCGCCAUGCUGGAGAGCACUCUCACUGUCCUGGAGGCCGAAUCUGAGACCCAGCUGAGGCCAGCCAGUUCCCUGAGGCCUCUCCUUGGCUCGUGGACAUCGUCUCUGAUCCCAUAGGGCACCCUCAAUGCCCUUUUCAAGCCACCUGUGUGACCUCAUUUCACUUCUCUCUUGGAGAACUUUUCACCCCACACGGCCACCUUCCCAGGUGCUGGGGGCUGGGGACCCGGGUAUGUUUUAUUGGGGGGACAGUCYGCCCACAACAGUAGGUCCCCUGCAACACCUGGGGCAUAAUUAUUCUGAAACAUUAGUUGUGCUUAUCUACCCAUCGAACCAGCUGGACACUCAGCAUUUUUCUUUGCUGAAUCGUCCACCCUUGGGGGAUGGCCUGUGUCCAGGCAGCCCCGGCCCCUCAGUGGCCUACCCCCAGAUGCAGGCUGUGCCCACAGGGAGCGGGGCUUAGACCAUGGGAGCCCUGGUGUGGGCCUGGG